GGGGUGGUUUACUGGCUAAUGUGGGAGAGCGCUUGAAUGGCAUUCAAGAGGUCAGCGGUUCGAUCCCGCUUAUCUCCACCA
rnacentral:tRNA from 2 species